ACUCCUACGGGAGGCAGCAGUGAGGAAUUUUGCGCAAUGGGGGCAAGCCUGACGCAGCGACGCCGCGUGAGUGAGGAAGGUUUUAGGAUUGUAAAGCUCUGUCCAGAGGGAAGAAAUGUAUCGUGGCUAAUAUCCAUGAUACUUGACGGUACCGCUAAAGGAAGCACCGGCUAACUCCGUGCCAGCAGCCGCGGUAAUAC
rnacentral:rRNA from 1 species